CCUUGAGGCGUGGCUUCCGGAGCUAACGCGUUAAGUCGACCGCCUGGGGAGUACGGCCGCAAGGUUAAAACUCAAAUGAAUUGACGGGGGCCCGCACAAGCGGUGGAGCAUGUGGUUUAAUUCGAUGCAACGCGAAGAACCUUACCUGGUCUUGACAUCCACGGAAGUUUUCAGAGAUGAGAAUGUGCCUUCGGGAACCGUGAGACAGGUGCUGCAUGGCUGUCGUCAGCUCGUGUUGUGAAAUGUUGGGUUAAGUCCCGCAACGAGCGCAACCCUUAUCCUUUGUUGCCAGCGGUCCGGCCGGGAACUCAAAGGAGACUGCCAGUGAUAAACUGGAGGAAGGUGGGGAUGACGUCAAGUCAUCAUGGCCCUUACGACCAGGGCUACACACGUGCUACAAU
rnacentral:rRNA from 1 species